UCUAUGGGAAGCGUCGGACAACUCAAAAACCUCGGUUUCUUAAAGAGACUUUCCCCCCCUCUUACCAUAUUCUUUAUCAAAUUUUAUCAAUCAUUUUUCUCUUUAAACAAUAGACAUUAGUCUCCACCAUUUUCUUAAUUAUUAUCUGCUAUUUUUUUUCAACUCUUACAGAAGAACUAACCAAAAAAAAAAAAAAAAAUGGAUAUCCAAGCUUUAUAUUCAAGAACCUGACAAAAACUUAUCAAGAAAGCUCUUACCAAUGUAUAAUUUUCAUCUAUGAGAGAAUGUUUCGUUAUCUUAUUAAUUGUGUGAUGGUCCAUAAACUGCAACUAUGUAUAGACCAUUAUCA
rnacentral:lncRNA from 1 species